AAUGAACGCUGGCGGCGUGCCUAACACAUGCAAGUCGGAUGUGCCCGCAAGGGUGCAUGGCAGACGGGUGAGUAACGCGUGGGGAAUCUACCUUUUAGUGGGGAAUAACGCUCCGAAAGGAGUGGUAAUACCGCAUGUGACCAUCGGCUGGGAUGCUGAUGGUGAAACCCUGGGACCUUCGGGCCGAGGGGCUAGAAGAGGAUCCUGCGUCUGAUUAGCUAGUUGGCGGGGUAACGGCCCACCAAGGCGACGAUCAGUAGCCGGCCUGAGAGGGUGAUCGGCCACACUGGAACUGAGACACGGUCCAGACUCCUACGGGAGGCAGCAGUGGGGAAUUUUGCGCAAUGGACGAAAGUCUGACGCAGCAACGCCGCGUGGGUGAUGAAGGUCUUCGGAUUGUAAACUCCUGUUAAGCGGGAAGAAAGCCUUGUUCUAAUACAAGCAAGGUAUGACGGUACCGCUAGAGAAAGCACCGGCUAACUUCGUGCCAGCAG
rnacentral:rRNA from 1 species